GACGAACGCUGGCGGCGUGCUUAACACAUGCAAGUCGAACGAAGUGGCGAACGGGUGAGUAACGCGUCAUCAACCUGCCCUUCAGAGGGGGACAACAGUUGGAAACGACUGCUAAUACCGCAUACUGAAGGUGGGGAUUGCGUCUGAUUAGCUGGCUGGCGGGGUAACGUCCCACCAAGGCGACGAUCAGUAGCCGGUCUGAGAGGAAGAACGACCAUACUGGGAAUGAGAAAGGGGCCAGACUUCUACGGGAGGCAGCAGGGGGGGAUCUUCCGAAAUGGAAGAAAGUCUGACGGAGCAACGCCGCGUGAGGGAAGAAGGGUUUCGGAUCGUAAAGCUCUGUUGUUAAGGAAGCGGUACUUAACCAGAAAGGGACGGCUAACUACGUGCCAGCAGCCGCGGUAAUAC
rnacentral:rRNA from 1 species